UACAAAUUGCCGCUAUAACUUACUAAAAUGAUAAUUUUGGCAAGAAAACUCGGUUUAUUUAGCUCAAAAUCGUCUUCCAGUACUGACAAAAGUUCAUAUACGAUUGCGCGAAAUAUAAAAUCGUGGUGAAACGCACAAAACGACUUCAAAAUCAAAUUUGAAAGUGAGCCUUCCUAAAUGUCGUCAAGCAUAUUUGGCUGU